AGCCUACACCAGGGUCGGGCCGCCGAGGGCUGGUCGAUACUCGGCGAGCCUAUGAAGACAGCUGGCAUCUGCCCGGCGCGGCCGAGGGCCUGCACACAUGUGCACUAGUUCUGCAUUGCUAAUCAGGACCUCUAAGGAACCUAGACUAAUCCAGUCUGGUUCCCCAUUGAAGUCAUAGUCAAGAAGCACAGCUUGUGUUAGAUCACAGAUCCUGGAAACAUCCUUAAGCAACAGAAGUCAUUGCAAAAGGAUUUCAGGAGGUCACGCGGGGAGACAAAGAACCCCAAGGUGGCGCUAGUCCUCUCUCUUGAAACCUUUGUAACUAUUAAGGCUGAAGUGCCAUUUAAAGAAAAAGGAAGGCAAAGAAAUGAGCUAUAGGAAGCCAUGAGUUUGUUACUGAGACAAGAGUAAGAUCCUCCUGCUCCGACAGUCGCAGAGUGAGUUGGCAUGACACGCCGUGAGAUCAAUCCCACUCUGCUCUGGCUGUCAUUUGUCAUUCCAGCCAGCUUUGC